UGAGGGAAAGCUGCAAAGUACUCUGAAGAGAGAGUUCAAUAGGACGUGAAGCCGUCUGCAGGGAAACGGGUGAGACCGCACGGUAGACCCGCGGCGGAUUCAGCUCCGGGGGCAACUCUGGGGUGCACUUCCGCGUCAGCGGGUCGCGCAGGGCCCGACUCUUUGGCCGUCUGAAGCCCGGUGAGGAGGUGACGGGGUUCUUCGGAUCUCCGAGUUUAACUCAUCGGCGCGGAGACCGGCUGCGGGGUCGAGGAAUGUCCAUCCGUCUUUGACGCGUGGG
rnacentral:rRNA from 1 species